rnacentral:rRNA from 1 species
GACGAACGCUGGCGGCGUGCUUAACACAUGCAAGUCGAACGGAAAGGCCCUGCUUUUGUUGGUUUCUUGAGUGCCGAACGGGUGAGUAUCACGUGAGUAUCCUGCCCUUGACUUUGUGAUAUCUUCAGGAAACUGGGGCUCAUACCCGAUAUGAUCUCCUGCUGCAUGUUGUUGGUUGGUAAGUUUCGGCGGUUGGAGAUGGACUCGCGGCUUAUCAGCUUGUUGGUCUGGUAGUUGCUUACCAAGGCUUAGACGGGUAGCCGGCCUGAGAGGGGUAACGGCCACAUUGGGACUGAGAGACGGACCAGACGGGUACGGGAGGCAGCAGGGGAGAAUAUUACAGAAUGGGGGGAAGCCAGAGGCAGAAACGCUGGGUGCGGGAUGACGGGUUUCGGGGGGUAAACAGAUGUGGAAGGAGACGAAGAGAGAGUGACGGUAAUGGGUAAGGAAGCAACGGCUAACUACGUG